CUGAGUUUGCAUGAUCGUAGCAGCUGGCGUCAAUGUGAAAAAUAAAAAUCACUCGGAAUAACCCAAGUGAAAAAGGUUAGAGAAAUCCACUCGAUAGAAAAUCAAUGUAAGGAAUUCAGUGGCAGGUGCAUCUUUCGAAAGACCUCAAGGUAUAUCCCAGUAGAAACCAAAGGAUACUUCAUGUCGCAUAUUCUUGUUUUUCUCAACAUCUUGAACCAUCUCACCUGCCGAUCACGUGCCUGCAGGUAUCUUACAAUUUUACAACACUGUAUACAUAUAAAUAAUAACUUCUUAAUGAUCGACAAUCUUAAAAGCUGCAACAUUGAACGAGCACGAGCGGGUAAUUUGCAUACUCGUAUAGGGAAGUGAUAAAUAAGUAGAAAAAAAAGGUUUUUCAAAGCUUAUAACACUACCUGACAUAUUAAACCUGCACAUGGACAAGGUACAAAAUUAAUGGCGGACACAAGAGCCCAGAAGGAUUUACACGAAUGUGGACAUUUUUCGCAAUAGUGGAUUUCGGCACUGCUCGUUUUUCGCACGGUGCUUCAAUUCAUCGUCGAUUCGCUAGUAAAAUUUAAAUUUCCCCAAUGAAUUUGCAACGUGUUAAGAUCCACUCGAUAUUCAUUCCGUUUAGUUUUUCUUUGUCUAUUGAAAUCACAUAGACAAUCAGGUGGGAAACGCAGCCUAAAUUCGAUACCGGUUGAGGCAUUGACGCGAUAAUGGAAAUUGAUCGUUUGUCGGCGUGAUAUUAUGCAACGCGAGAUUGGCCAGACGCGUUGCAUAAUUUAUACGAAUGCCAACCAAACA